rnacentral:rRNA from 1 species
GACGAACGCUGGCGGCGUGCUUAACACAUGCAAGUCGAACGGAAAGGCCCUGCUUUUGUGGGGUGCUCGAGUGGCGAACGGGUGAGUAACACGUGAGUAACCUGCCCUUGACUUUGGGAUAACUUCAGGAAACUGGGGCUAAUACCGGAUAGGAGCUCCUGCUGCAUGGUGGGGGUUGGAAAGUUUCGGCGGUUGGGGAUGGACUCGCGGCUUAUCAGCUUGUUGGUGGGGUAGUGGCUUACCAAGGCUUUGACGGGUAGCCGGCCUGAGAGGGUGACCGGCCACAUUGGGACUGAGAUACGGCCCAGACUCCUACGGGAGGCAGCAGUGGGGAAUAUUGCACAAUGGGCGGAAGCCUGAUGCAGCAACGCCGCGUGCGGGAUGACGUCCUUCGGGUUGUAAACCGCUUUCGCCUGUGACGAAGCGUGAGUGACGGUAAUGAGUAAAGAAGCACCGGCUAACUACGUG